AGAAGAGUAAUCAAAAUAAGUCUAUCAUCUACCUAUAUAUAACAUGGAUAUUUGUCAAUGCAGGUUUAUCAAUAUACAAUCUGCACUGGUUUAAUACGUGACACGGAAGCAAGCCAGCAGUGGAGAAUGGCAUUGGAUAUGAUGCAGCUGAGCAAGCAAGAGAAAUUAAGGACAAAAAGGCAGAAGAAUUUCUGAAAAAUCAGAUUGUGCACUUCAGAAUAACACCACAAAGGAUCAUCACUUUAAUCAGUUACUGAUUACAACUGGGGAAAUUUUCACAGACUCCACUUGAGGCUGCUUUUUAAAUGGAGGAGAGUGAGUCAGAAUGCAUCUUCCUCCCUGCUAGACAGAAAGCGCCAAAGGAAGCACUGGCUGUGUCACCUAAUGGACCCCCACGUGAAGCACACGGUCCCACAGCAAAGCUCUGUUUCUCCCAUGGCCUGUGGCAUCCCGUACCGGGUUGGCCCAACAGCUGCUUUACUGCAUUUCRUAUCACUGUUGCUUCAUGCUGCCUUUGAUAUCAGAAUAGAUGUGAAAUAAAUAGAAUUACAGAUUACGGAGUGCUUUAACA
rnacentral:lncRNA from 1 species